rnacentral:rRNA from 1 species
CCUAACACAUGCAAGUCGAACGGUAACAGGAAGAAGCUUGCUUCUUUGCUGACGAGUGGCGGACGGGUGAGUAAUGUCUGGGAAACUGCCUGAUGGAGGGGGAUAACUACUGGAAACGGUAGCUAAUACCGCAUAACGUCGCAAGACCAAAGAGGGGGACCUUCGGGCCUCUUGCCAUCAGAUGUGCCCAGAUGGGAUUAGCUAGUAGGUGGGGUAACGGCUCACCUAGGCGACGAUCCCUAGCUGGUCUGAGAGGAUGACCAGCCACACUGGAACUGAGACACGGUCCAGACUCCUACGGGAGGCAGCAGUGGGGAAUAUUGCACAAUGGGCGCAAGCCUGAUGCAGCCAUGCCGCGUGUAUGAAGAAGGCCUUCGGGUUGUAAAGUACUUUCAGCGGGGA